rnacentral:lncRNA from 1 species
CGCCUCAACAUGGCUUGAUGAGCAAUGCCAUGGCCACACCCAGGAUCCCAACCAGUGAAACCUUGGGCGGCUGAAGCAGAGCGCCUGAACUUAACCACUUGGCCACGGGGUCGGACCCAUGGCCAAGUCUUAUAGUCCAGGAAAGGGUGCGAGUAGACGACUGAAUAUGCAGAUGAGGAUUCAAAAGUGAAGAGGGUGCCCCGGGGCCCAAAGGGUUGUUUUCACUAGCAUGACCACCAGCAGGAGCAGAAGGACUAGUUUCAGAGGCUUUGGCUGAGGCCACUCAGCUGAUGCCCUAGGCCCUCCUAAGCACAGGCUGAGGGCAGGAGCGUCAGCAAGAGCUGUGGCUCCACCGGGAGCCACAGCUUUGCUGUGCCGCAGGCUCUUCGACAAACUGCAACGCUCCUCCCUGAAGCCGUGGCUUCCAGAGGAGGGGGUGCCCUCGCGAGACUGGAAAAAUCUCGGUUGCGUUAGCUCUCAGAACCUGCCACCUCCAUGGGAAAGGCUCCCGAUCGCUGGCAAAACCCUUCUUGGACCGUUGGGAGGACUCAGGCUAAUGUCAGCAUGGCUGGAUGAGCAGUGUGUAGGUCCACGCUGAGGAUCCGAACCUGAGAAGCCCAGGCCACUGAAGCAGAGGGCACGAACUUAACCACUAUGCUACCGUGCCAGCCCCUACUAGACCUAUUCUGAAUACAUUGGUAUGUCUCAGCCAAGAACCUAGAAGGAUUGUGAAAGGUGAAAUAAAAUGGAGCCACUUAUGUCAAGAGGUUUUUAAAUGGAGCUGGG